GAUCAUGGCUCAGGAUGAACGCUAGCGACAGGCCUAACACAUGCAAGUCGAGGGGCAGCGAAGAGGUAGCAAUACCUUUGUCGGCGACCGGCGCACGGGUGAGUAACACGUAUGCAAUCCACCUGUAACAGGGGGAUAACCCCGGGAGAAAAUCCGGACUAAUACCCCAUAAUAUGGGCGCUCCGCAUGGAGAGCCCAUUAAAGAGAGCAAUUUUGGUUACAGACGAGCAUGCGCU
rnacentral:rRNA from 1 species